CAGUCUCUGGAGGUUGGGAAGAGGGCAUACAUUUUGGGGCUGACAAAAAUGAUAGAUGCCAGAGCUACAAGGCUGUGUUUUCACUCAAGUGCUUCUUUGACAGAGAGCGUAGACGCGAGCUCUGCCACGACCAUGUACAUGUCAAUCUGCAUAAACUAAUCACUGGAGCACUGCUGAGGACUUCAUUGCGAAGGGCCAUUUUGUUAGCCUUGUCUUCAUGGCUGCAAUGGAGCGCAAGGGCUCUGUGUGAGAUUAGACAAGUACCAUGGUCCUGAUUGCACAAGCCACAGAGAGAUACGGUUAAUCAGGGCUAUCCAUCCUUGUUUCCUAAAACAACACUGCAGUUGUGACACAGGCGAUUCAGAACUCUAGUGAAUGAAGUUGGAAAAUGAUUGGGCAUAAACGUAUUUCCCCUCAAGCAGCAAUUACAGAGAGAGUUCGUCACCAGAGGUUUUAUUUAUCAUCAAUACAAUAUGUGGCGGAGAGCAUCAGAAUGCAUUUUAAAGCUUGGCAGCCUUUGGUCCCCAUCCAGUUCUACUGUAUGGAAGAGAGCAGCUGAACAUCUGCUGAAUAUCUCCUUUUGUGCCCCUAGGAAGAAUAAAAGUCAUGCAAGGUUAGAAAGACAUGUGGCUGAAGACUGCCUCCUGUGUGAUGAAUAAAAUUCACAUCUCUACCAUAAAUCUUCAAGCAUCAAAACGAGGAAAUCUGACUGCAUCCACACUCUCAGUUAUGCUGGUCUCACUUCGUGCAAUUACGCUCACCUUCUUCUACAGCAAUUAUCUUGAUGUAUCAAGAUUCUCUCAGAUGCUGUUGCUUCCCCCAAAUAUUAUGUAAUAGAGUUUGGAGUCAAUUUUGUGUCACAUAAAGCCUUAAACAUUCAUUUGAAAAAUCAGAGCAGUCUCUGUUUUCCCCUCUGAUGUCUGUGGACUAAUUUCCAGAAUGGUUUGGUUCAGCUAAUUAGCAAUGGUAGAGAGAGAGAGAGAGAGAGAGAGAGAGAGAGAGCAAGCAUGCAAAAAGAGUGGAUAGAUGAAGGGGAAAAUAUGAAUAAUUAUUGUAUAUUUGUUCACCUAAUUUGUAUAAGAUGUCCAUUAUUGUUUACUGGAAAGUGCAAUACUUGCAUUUUGAAAUUGCUUUCUCUUUGUCUUAGGAUGGGUUGCUGUGGAUAUUAAAAACUUAGAAAAUUGGAAGAAGAAAAAAACAAAACAAAACAAAUCAAAAACACACAAGACAAUACAAAACAAAACAAAAACGCACAAGACAAAACUUAAUAAAUUAAAGUGGUUCACCCAGUUACAAUGGCUGCUACACCCCAAUUAAUAUUGGUACCACUUCAAAGAGAUUAGAUGUGGGUCUAUGUACUGUAUGUCUGUCCAAAUUUUCGAGUGCCAAAGCACAUCCUGUCUUCUCUGAUGACUAGCCUCAUAUAACGCCUAUAGCUGAUGAGUCCACCAUGGACCCUGAUGAAGGCAGAGGGAUUGUAUCUAUAGACUCCACUUAGAGAUGGAUGAGGCGCCAUGCAGGGACGGUGGUAACUGCCCUACUUCUUGCAAUAAGUUUGGAUUUGAAGCUCAAAGGAAUUGUUCCUAACUGACCUGCUCAUUUUACUUUAAUUCCUCUUCCCAAGCUUCUGCUGACAUUCCUGUGAAUUAUGGCAUAGGAUGUGCAAAUUCCCUAUUCCCUCAAUCGUGACCUUGUUUGGCUCAGUUUAUAAUGCAUACCAUCAUAUUUAAAUUCAUGAUCGUGAAACAAUAACAGCAUAAUCAGAUGCUUUCUUUGAAUCCUCAGGAAAACACACACACAAAAACAACAAUGUACUCUGGGUUCAUGCGUUUCCAAUAUUUGUACAACUUUCGCUGUACACAGACUAGAGUACAAGAAGAAGCUUCUUAAUGAUGAAAGUCUUUCACUGGCCUUGCAACUUUCCCUCUACCCAUGAAAUUUUUACAUUUCCAAUUUAUUAUAUAUUAAUUAUCCUCUAAUUAUGCAUUACAUAACAGCUUUUGCGAACACAGCUCAUGUAAGACCCUCAUAAUUUAUGAACUGCCUUUACAGAAGUGACAGAGUCAGAUGGACCAUCACACACUAAAAUGAGACAAAGAUUCAACAAAAAAUGCUCACAUAAUUCUCCAGGGGAAAAGCAAACACUAUCACUUAUUCUGCUUGUUCUUGUCUGUUUCUCCUUACUCUUUUCCUCCCAAGAAUCUCCUGUUAAAUUGUUUUCCCUGCCGGCCUUGAGUUUUGUCCUUUGAGAUAAGUGUCCAUGAGAGACAUGACACACUCAGCCUAAUCAGCUCUAACAGGGAAAGUACAAAAUAGUCCCUUGUCUUUUUGUUUCUUCAGGAAUUCAGGGUUGAGCCAGAGAUGCAAAACUCAAAUCAAAUGGUAGCAGCGAGAUCCUCCUUAUCGGUGAUGUAAAAUACACCGUCAAGAAGCACACCUUGAUUGAGACAGAUGGUCUAUUGAUUUCAUUUGAAAGGCUGCCACAUGUCCGUCUCUAUAACACUGUCCUUCUUCUGGACUUUAUCAACAGGAUUUUAGUAUUAUUGUGACAGAUACUGAGAGACAUAUGCACUCUCAACAGGUAGAAAAAUUGAUUUGGUAAGCUAAAAUACUGCAUUAAAGCAUUAUGGAAGUCAUAACAAACAAGGUGUCAAACAACCUCUAGUCUAUGGCAUUACAUUUAUGCAUUUGGCAGACGCUAUUGUACAAAGUCACUUACACUGCACUCAAUCUAUACAUUUUUUAACAGUAUGCAUGUUCAGUGGAAACUGAACCCAUUAACCUUGGCAUUGUAUGUACCAUGCUGUAUCAGCUGAGCAAUGUAAACCUGUUUCAUUAACAUUUGAGUCUUUGGGUAAUAUAGGUACCCACUAGAUUGCCUGAUACUCUACUUCAGUAAAAUGCAGUGUGCAAAAUGGACAAUGAAUGAAAAAAAAGUUUGUCUUUUUGGAACUUGGAAAUUUUGGACCCAUGGGGACAUCCAUAGUAUAGACAAAAAGGUUGCGUGGAAAUACUCCAUACAACUUCACUGCUAUAUUGCAAGUCUUGUAAGCCACACUGUCAUAAAAAAAAUGAACAGAGAUAUUUCAAAAUCAAACCAAACUAAAGCACACAUGCACAAAUUAAAUCAAAUAUGGUGACACAAACAUGAUUGACCAUACACAGCUGAAAAGUUUUUAAAAUAUAUUAUUUCAUGUUAUGCAGAAGUAAGCAAUCCCUUCAACAUUAGCCUGACAUGAGGGUGAGUAAAUGAGAUAAUUUUCAUUUUGGGGUGAACAGAUUUCAUCUCUUCUUAAUUGUCUUUUGAGAUUUAGACUAAAAUGAAAAUGAUCCAAAUCUAUUUAAA